CCCCCCCCUUUAUCAAAAAAACAUGUGUGUGUGAAUUAGCCCUUAAGUCUAGCCUGCCCCUGAUUUGUUUAAAGGGCCGCGGUAAUUUGACCGUGCGAAGGUAUCAUACUCAGUAAUCUUUCAUUUGGAGGCUUGCAUGAAUGGUUGGACGAAGGAUAAGCUGUCUCUCUCUUUUGCGUUGUUUGAAUUUAAUUUUUGAGUGAAAAGGCUCGAAUUAUUUAGGGGGACGAUAAAACCCUAUCAAACUUUAUAUAAUCUAAUCUUGCCUUGCUAUUUAAGUGAAAAAUAAUUUUGUUUGGUUUAUAUUUCUUUGGGGAGAUAAAUAUAUAAUUUGUAACUGUCUAUUGAAUUUUAUAGUAUUAAUUAAUAUUUAAUCCAUCUUUGAGGAUUAAGAGAAAAAAUUACUUUAGGGAUAACAACGUGAUUUUCUUUGAGAGUUCUUAUCUACAAAAGUAAUUGCGACCUCCAUGUUGAAUUAAAAUUUCAGCUAGGUGUAGCCGUUUAGCUGGUGGGUCUGUUCGACCUUUAAAAUUUUACAUGAUCUGCUUCCGACCCGGGCCGGA
rnacentral:rRNA from 1 species